rnacentral:rRNA from 1 species
GAUGAACGCUGGCGGCGUGCCUAAUACAUGCAAGUCGAGCGAACGGACGAGAAGCUUGCUUCUCUGAUGUUAGCGGCGGACGGGUGAGUAACACGUGGAUAACCUACCUAUAAGACUGGGAUAACUUCGGGAAACCGGAGCUAAUACCGGAUGAUAUUUUGAACCGCAUGGUUCAAAAGUGAAAGACGGUCUUGCUGUCACUUAUAGAUGGAUCCGCGCUGCAUUAGCUAGUUGGUAAGGUAACGGCUUACCAAGGCAACGAUGCAUAGCCGACCUGAGAGGGUGAUCGGCCACACUGGAACUGAGACACGGUCCAGACUCCUACGGGAGGCAGCAGUAGGGGAUCUUCCGCAAUGGGCGAAAGCCUGACGGAGCAACGCCGCGUGAGUGAUGAAGGUCUUCGGAUCGUAAAACUCUGUUAUUAGGGAAGAACAUAUGUGUAAGUAACUGUGCACAUCUUGACGGUACCUAAUCAGAAAGCCCCGGCUAACUACGUG